GACUCUGGAGAAUCCACGGGCUGUUGGCCCUGGUGCCGAAGGGGAAAGGGAGCAAUCCUGAAUCUCUCAGGCAAAAGGACAGAGUG
rnacentral:ncRNA from 1 species